rnacentral:rRNA from 1 species
GUGAGUCAUCGAAUCUUUGAACGCACCUUGCGCUCUCUGGUAUUCCGGAGAGCAUGCCUGUUUGAGUGUCAUGAACUCUUCAACCCACCGGUUCCUUGUGAACCGAGUCGGUGUUUGGAUUUUGAGCUUUGCUAUUUGUUUAGCUAGCUCGUAAUGUAUUAGCAUCUUUCAAUUUCAUAAUCGGAUUGACUCAGCGUAAUAGACUAUUCGCUGAGGACACUUUUACUAGUGGCCGGUAAUGGAGAUAGAGAAGCUUCCAACUCUUCUAGUCAACUUUAGAUUAGACCUCAAAUCAGGCAGGAUUACCCGCUGAACUUAA